rnacentral:sRNA from 1 species
AAGGGACCUAGCGUAGUUCGGAAUUACUGGGCUUAAAGAGUUCGUAGGUGGUUGAAAAAGUUGGUGGUGAAAUCCCAGAGCUUAACUCUGGAACUGCCAUCAAAACUUUUCAGCUAGAGUAUGAUAGAGGAAAGCAGAAUUUCUAGUGUAGAGGUGAAAUUCGUAGAUAUUAGAAAGAAUACCAAUUGCGAAGGCAGCUUUCUGGAUCAUUACUGACACUGAGGAACGAAAGCAUGGGUAGCGAAGAGGAUUAGAUACCCUCGUAGUCCAUGCCGUAAACGAUGUGUGUUAGACGUUGGAAAUUUAUUUUCAGUGUCGCAGGGAAACCGAUAAACACACCGCCUGGGGAGUACGACCGCAAGGUUAAAACUCAAAUGAAUUGACGGGGACCCGCACAAGUAGUGGAGCAUGUGGUUUAAUUCGAAGAUACGCGCAGAACCUUACCAACACUUGACAUGUUCGUCGCGACUCUAAGAGAUUAGAGUUUUCGGUUCGGCCGGACGAAACACAGGUGCUGCAUGGCUGUCGUCAGCUCGUGUCGUGAGAUGUUGGGUUAAGUCCCGCAACGAGCGCAACCCUCACUUUUAGUUGCCAUCAUUAAGUUGGGCACUCUGAAAGAACUGCCAGUGAUAAGCUGGAGGAAGGUGGGGAUGACGUCAAGUCCUCAUGGCCCUUACGUGUUGGGCUACACACGUGCUACAAUGGCAUCUACAACAGGAAGCAAAACGGCAACGUUAAGCAAAUCCCGAAAAGAUGCCUCAGUUCGGAUUGCGCUCUGCAACUCGAGUGCAUGAAGCUGGAAUUACUAGUAAUCGUGGAUCAGCGUGCCACGGUGAUUGCGUUCCCGGGUCUUGUACACACCGCCCGUCACACCAUGGGAGUUGGUUCUACCUUAAGGCAAGGUUUAAACCCUUGACCACGGUAUAGUCAGCGACUGGGGUGAAGUCGUAACAAGGUAGCCGUAGGGGAACCUGCGGCUGGAUUACCUCCUUUCUAAGGAUGAGUGAAAGUAAAAUUUCACUCUAAAUAAUAUACAUCGGUAAUGUUGACCGUCCUCAUUUCUCUUCUUAAAGUAAUGUUUCCUUCUUGUAGGGCCGGUAGCUCAGUUGGUUAGAGCACACCCUUGAUAAGGGUGGGGUCGAAAGUUCGAGUCUUUCUCGGCCCACCAAAAACCUAAAUGGGGGAUUAGCUCAUCUGGGAGAGCGCCUGAUUUGCAUUCAGGAGGUAGCAGGUUCGAUCCCUGUAUCCUCCACCAGGAAACAUUUAGUUAUUAAAACUGUAAAUAAAAAUAAUUUAUAUCAAUAUCUAUAUCCGAACAUUAAAAGUUAUUAUUUAAUGUUCAAAAUAAAAAUUUGAUCACAACAUAGAUAAAUUUUCUGUUAAAAGAAUUUUUUUCUGUGCAUAAAUCAAGCGUUUAAGGGCGUGUAGUGGAUGCCUUGGCACUGAAAGCCGAUGAAGGACGUGAUAUACUGCGAUAAGUUUCGGGGAGCUGUAUGUAAGCUUUGAUCCGAAAAUUU